rnacentral:rRNA from 1 species
CCUGAGGGUGAAAGCGGGGGAUUCUUGGGCAACCGAAGACCUCGCGCGAUAGGAGCGGCCGAUGGCGGAUUAGCUAGUUGGUGGGGUAAAGGCCUACCAAGGCGACGAUCCGUAGCGGGUCUGAGAGGACGGCCCGCCACACUGGAACUGAGACACGGUCCAGACUCCUACGGGAGGCAGCAGUGGGGAAUUUUGGACAAUGGGGGCAACCCUGAUCCAGCCAUUCCGCGUGAGUGAAGAAGGCCUUCGGGUUGUAAAGCUCUUUCGGCAGGAACGAAACGGUGGAGGCUAAUACCUUUCAUCAAUGACGGUACCUGAAGAAGAAGCACCGGCUAACUACGUGCCAGCAGCCGCGGUAAUACGUAGGGUGCGAGCGUUAAUCGGAAUUACUGGGCGUAAAGCGUGCGCAGGCGGCUCACUAAGACAGAUGUGAAAUCCCCGGGCUUAACCUGGGAACUGCGUUUGUGACUGGUGGGCUGGAGUGUGGCAGAGGGGGGUGGAAUUCCACGUGUAGCGGUGAAAUGCGUAGAUAUCAGGAAGAACACCGGUGGCGAAGGCGGUCUUCUGGUCUGUUACUGACGCUCAUGCUCGAAAGCGUGGGGAGCAAACAGGAUUAGAUACCCUGGUAGUCCACGCCCUAAACGAUGGAUACUCGAUGUCGGGCCGCAAGGUUCGGUGUCCAAGCUAACGCGUUAAGUAUCCCACCUGGGGAGUACGAUCGCAAGGUUG